rnacentral:lncRNA from 1 species
AAUUGCAUUCACUAUAUCAUCUUUACUAAUCACAGUAGGAUCAUACUCAACUUCCCCUAAAGAAGUAGCCAAGGCCACUACUGCCCUUUUCACACCAGGAAGAUUUCUUAAAAUACCUUCAACUGAGUUCACACAGGCCGCACAGGUCAUACCCCCAAUUGUAAACUGCCCCAAAAGAGUUCCACUUGGCUUUGUUUUGGUUGUACUGGGUUCAGCUAGAAUCUCUGCUUCAAAGCCAGCAUCCUCGAUUGCGUUCUUAAUGUCAUCAUCCUGAAUUAACACAUAUUUAUUAAAUAUCAAUGCAUGUAUAAAAGAAGUAUCAAAGGCAUGCAAUUUCAUCCAUGCAAUUUAUUAAUUCUGGCAUAUGCAAACAAGCAAAUAAAUCUAAUACAAUUGUAUAAAUCAUUCAGAAAACCUUUGAUCUAGCUAACUUCCAUAUCACAAUUCUCCAAAAAUGCAUUAAAAUGUCCUUUAGAAAUAACUAGAAGAAGCAAAUUGCUUUAUGGAAAUUUCAAAUGCAUAUAUGCACUUGGUUUGGUAAGGCACCUUCUCUAAUCAAAUUUAACGUAAGCAGUAUAAUCAACACGUGCAGAUCCAUAUCCAGAGAAAGGUGCAAAAGAAAAAAAAAAGAAUAAAAGAAGAAGAAGAAGAAGAAGUUGGUUCAAACAAUUUCUAGGGGAGCUGAGGAUUGCAUUUCACCGAACAAGAUAGACACAGGAGAAGCUGCAGGCCCAGCCCAUCUGGCUGAAAAUGUAAUUGGGAAUGAUAACCUAAAGUUUCAAAAGAAAUCUACAGAAUUCUUAACUAAACAUCCAUUUUCAAUAGAGAUGCCAAUGCAAGUCUUUUGCAUUAUCUGAAAAACGCAUCCAAUCACAUUUUCUUUACCACUACAACAAAUGGACUCCAACAUAUCCAUUAUCAAAUUUAUUUUUUUAAAAAAAAUUGAUUUAAAACAAAUGAACCGCAAACACCAUCCAAACAUAAAUAAUGGCCAAAAUAUAAUUUAAAAUCAAAAGAAGGCUUCCAGUUCUGUUUUCAAAAUAAGAAUCAGUUACAACCCAUUACCAUAAAAAGAUAUUGUAAGAAUUCUCCAUCUCAGGCUCCAUGUGGGGCUGUGUUAGGGAAGCCAAAAAGUGCUUUUUGGAAAAGCACCAUUACCAUUUUAGAUGCCUUUGAAAAAAGUUAUUCUAGCGUUCUCAGUACUAAAAACAUAUCAAUAUUAACUUUAGAUGAAUUGUUAAUACCAUUAUAGGUGCUUUUCUCCAUACAGCUCUAACUGCAAUGUCGAUCACAUCCUAAGAAUGUCCCAGUGUUGAAAACACACACUAUGAUCACAAACACAAAUAAAAAUUCACAAUAACCCAUAAUCAAAGAAAAUUUAUAAAUAUGUGCCUUUUUUUUAGUGCUUUGCACUUGCAUAAGGUCGGUUUUAUCCUAUAUUGGUAACUAAGAUAGACCGAACUCAUUAAUUGAGAGCUGCCCAGAACACCAAAUAAACUCAUUACUAUAAGUUAUCAUAGUCUUAUGCCAGCGCACGAUCUAUUGCGUCACGUAAUACUAAAUGCAGAGAAAUCAACGAAAUGAAACAAUAGAUUCGAGAUAUAGGAGAAAUUCCAAUGAUCAAGAAAAAAAUUUACAAAAACAAAAGGUUAACAAUGAUAUAACAACACCAGCUCGAAUUUCCCAAAAAUAGAACCAACUUGUUCCCAAAGCUUAACAAUUCAAUCCAAAUAAUCAAAAAGGAAAUUAAAAAGAUUUGAUCAAGGAAAAAGCCAACAACCACAAACCUUAACCAAAGCAGGAUCAAACACGACAUCCGCCUUGUUUUGAAGCAAGGCAACAGAGGCUCUCAAAACCCCACUGACGCUCUUGAGAGCUGAUUCCACGGAAUUUGAGCAAGCAGCACAGGUCAUCCCCGUAAUUCUGACCUGAAUCCUCUUCAUUCCUUCUUCUCCUUCUGAUUCUCCUUCUCCAUCAAUC